GAAGCUUCAGGCCUAACACAUGCAAGUCGAGGGAGAAGCUAUCUUCGGAUAGUGGAGACCGGCAGACGGGUGAGUAACACGUGGGAACAUACCAAGUACUGGGGGAUAACAGUUGGAAACGACUGCUAAUACCGCAUACGCCCUUCGGGGGAAAGAUUUAUCGGUAUUUGAUUGGCCCGCGUUAGAUUAGCUAGUUGGUAGGGUAAUGGCUUACCAAGGCGACGAUCUAUAGCUGGGUUGAGAGGAUGAUCAGCCACACUGGGACUGAGACACGGCCCAGACUCCUACGGGAGGCAGCAGUGGGGAAUAUUGCGCAAUGGAGGAAACUCUGACGCAGCCAUGCCGCGUGAGUGAAGAAGGCCCUAGGGUUGUAAAGCUCUUUCAGACGUGAUGAUGAUGACAGUAGCGUCAAAAGAAGUUCCGGCUAACUUCGUGCCAGCAGCCGCGGUAAUACGAAGGGAACUAGCGUUGUUCGGAUUUACUGGGCGUAAAGAGCAUGUAGGCGGAUUGGUCAGUUGGAGGUGAAAUCCCGGAGCUCAACUCCGGAACUGCCUUCAAUACUGCUAAUCUAGAAUCUGUAAGGGGGUGGUGGAAUUCCGA
rnacentral:rRNA from 1 species